rnacentral:rRNA from 1 species
AUGUGUAAAAUUUCCAUCCUAUGGUCAUAUGAGAAAAUAUCAUGUGACGCAAUUCCAGGACAGCAAAGAGAAGCAAAGUGGUCACCUUUGAUGAUCCCCAGGAGAAGAAGGCCACAGAAGAAGGGCAAGAAUUUGAAGCAGCUCCAGACAGAGGCCCGGAACCCAGUCGAUGGCUCCAUGACAAGCUCGGUCAACUCAAGACUCUGCUCAAUCCCUUUGUAUUCCCUUCAAGAGCAAGCAACGUUAUCCAACCCCACGAACUUGGCAAGACGGCAAGUCGGCAACAGAAGAAUGAGAACAAAACUGAGCUUGCUUCCAGGAAGAAUUUCCAAGAACCGUUAG